CAGACGUCUGUUCAUGUGUGCAGGUGCAUGUGGUGUACGCAUACGUGUGGAAGCCAGAGGACAAUGUCUGGGUAUCGAGGCAGAUGCUGAGACUCAUAGCCAAACUUUGGGCAGAGUGCAGGUAAUCUUAUGAAAGAAGUGGGAGAUAGCAAGACCUGGAGAGGCCAGGAGCUCCACAAGGACAGCAACAGAUCCAAAAAAUCUGGGCACAAGGGUCUUUUCUGAACUGAUACUCCAGCCAAGGACCACUCAUGGAGAUGGCCUGGAACCCCUGCACAAAGUUUAUUCAGGAACCUUGAACAAUCAUCUGACCCUGGGGAAAGCCAGCCCACAGCUUAAAUAGCCUCUGGGUAGCCAACCCCAGCGUGCCACAUGGGCAAUGCAGAUAGGUCCACAUACAUGGAAGCAAGCCA